UAGAGCAGAAACAAGUCAGGUUAGAAAAGAAGACAGAGAGGGAUCGGAACAGCAGUUUUGUCGUAUCUCUGUGCAUAACUCAUAGACUACUACUGUAGAUUUAUAUAUGUAUUAGUAUGGCAGGUUAAUGCAGGUAGUUUUAAUUAUAACUCGCUGCACACUUUUUAGAUACAUUUUAUUUCCGUUUUAAAACAAACGUUGGUUGUUUUCAGGCGGCUAACAGAAUGAAUAUUUCAUGCUGCACAGCUGUACUGUGGAGACACAUGUGGUAGGCGGGCGCAGAGAGUGUGUGUGGUGAUGUGAUCUACUGUGUGUUUGUCUAUAGUCUGUCAGUCGCGCUGUUUGCAGUGGCCAACCAUCAGUGUAGCAUGAAACGAUGCCACACCACCUAAAACUCCGGAAUACCCUUUGUUAUCUACCUUUGAACACUACCCAGAAGAUCGUCUACCCUGACGGACGCUUAUACAGACCGAAAGGAGGGAGCCAAGACUGAGGGGUAGAUGUAUCACCCGGAGCGAGCGCAGUAUGAAGAAAGCAGGCAGGCCAGUGGGGAAUAAGGCAGCAAGUGGAGGAGCUAAAGGUGACGUGGUGACAGCUGGAACCUCUGCUGGCAAAAGUGCUGCUAAGAGCCCUACCGCAGCUCCGCUCUCCAAGGUCAAAAGCAAUGAUGAUCUUCUAGCUGGUAUGGCUGGGAGCAGUGCAGGGACAAACAGCAGUGUUGCCAAGGGCAAGAAAUCAACCUCUACACACUCAUCCUGCGGAACAAACACUAAUAACCUUGACACAAAGACCAAGACCACCUCAGGCCCAUCUGGCAAACGGACUUCAUCCACAGCCUCCAAGGAAUCAAACUCCUCACGUGAUCGUUUGCGAAACUCCAGAAACUCCAGCAGUAAGAAGCAGUCAUCCACUGGUGCUUCUGAUCGAGCCCAGCCCAGGCAUUCCCGUGGACAGGCCCAAACUUCAGACUCUGAGAGCCGCAUGAGCAAAUCAAAGUCUGACGGACAGCUAAGUGAUAAAUUGGCCCUGGAGGCCAAAGUGAAAAAUCUGUUAGGUCUGGCCAAGAGCAAAGACGUGGAAAUCCUGCAGCUACGGGGAGAGCUGAGGGACAUGAGGGUUCAGCUGGGACUGCCCGAGGAAGAUGAGGAGGAUGAGAGGCCACCUGAGAGGGAGGCGGCUGCAGUGAUCACAGCUGCAGAUGUGGAGUCAACAUUGCUGCUCCUGCAGGAGCAGAACCAGGCCAUCCGUGGAGAGCUCAACCUGCUUAAGAAUGAAAACCGCAUGCUAAAGGACCGCCUCAAUGCUCUGGGCUUUUCCCUGGAGCAAAGACUGGAUGGGGCUGAGAAAACCUUUGGCUUUCCCUCCACCAGUCCUGAACUUUCCUCCUCUGGAGGUGGUGGAGGUCAUGGAGACUGUGCUACUGUGGCCUCCUCUGUGGAGGGAUCAGCACCAGGCUCCAUGGAGGACCUCCUUACGGGAGGCCAGCGAAGUGGCUCAACAGACAACCUGGACAGCGAGUCCAGUGAGGUCUACCAAGCGGUGACCUCCAGUGACGACGCUUUGGACGCUCCCUCAGGCUGCGGUUCCUCGUCAUCCUCUGAGUCUGAAGGUGGCGCUCCGGAAUGUCACAAUUCCUCUCGUAAGGGGAGCAGUGGAAACACCAGUGAGGUUUCAGUGGCGUGCCUUACAGAGCGCAUCCACCAGAUGGAGGAGAACCAACACAGCACGGCUGAGGAGCUCCAAGCGACUCUACAGGAACUGGCUGACCUGCAACAGAUCACGCAGGAGCUAAAUGGUGAAAAUGAACGCCUGGGAGAGGAAAAGGUCCUGCUUAUGGACUCCCUCUGCCAACAGAGUGACAAACUGGAGCACUGUGGCCGUCAGAUCGAGUACUUCCGUUCACUUCUGGACGAACACGGUGUGGCCUACUCGGUAGACGAAGACAUCAAGAGUGGCCGAUACCUGGAGCUGGAGCAACGCUAUGUGGAGCUUGCGGAAAAUGCUCGCUUUGAGCGUGAGCAGCUGUUAGGUGUGCAGCAACAUCUUAGCAAUACUCUGAAGAUGGCUGAGCAGGAUAAUGCUGAGGCUCAGAGUGUGAUCUCAGCACUGAAAGAGCGCAACCAUCACAUGGAGCGACUUCUAGAGGUGGAAAGGCAAGAGCGGGGUGGCAUGGCGGCAGUUCUGGAGGAGUGUAAAGCUGCUGUCAACAACGACCAGGCUGAGCUGAGCCGCUGUCGGGUGUUACUUGAGCAGGAGAGGCAAAAGGUUGCUGAGCUUUACUCCAUCCACAAUGCCGGAGAUAAGAGCGACAUCCACCAGCUCCUGGAGGGAGUUAGGCUGGACAAGGAAGAAGCUGAAGCCAAAGCCGCCAAACUACAGGACGAUUUGGGCCACGCUCGCAAUGAGGUGGCAUGUCUGCAGGACACCCUCAACAAGCUGGAUGCUGAGUACAGGGACUUCCAGAGUGAGGUGCAGAAAGAGUUAGCCGAGCAGAAGAGGGCUAUAGAGAAGCAACGUGAGGACCUGCAGGAGAAAGAGACGGAGAUCGGAGACAUGAAGGAGACCAUCUUUGAGCUGGAGGAUGAAGUGGAGCAGCACCGAGCCGUCAAGCUUCAUGACAACCUCAUCAUCAGCGACCUAGAGAAUUCGAUGAAAAAGCUUCAGGAUCAGAAGCAUGACAUGGAGAGAGAGAUAAAGAUACUGCACCGCAGACUCAGGGAAGAGUCGGCAGAGUGGCGUCAGUUCCAGGCAGAUCUGCAGACUGCUGUGGUCAUUGCUAAUGACAUCAAGUCAGAAGCUCAAGAGGAGAUCGGUGACCUACGCCGCCGCCUGCAAGAAGCCCAAGAAAAGAACGAGAAGCUGAGCAAAGAACUAGAUGAAGUUAAAAACCGCAAGCAAGACGAGGAGCGUGGACGUGUAUAUAACUACAUGAAUGCUGUUGAGAGGGACCUGGCUGCUCUCCGGCAGGGCAUGGGACUGAGUCGACGCCCCUCCACGUCCUCCGAGCCAUCACCCACCGUUAAAACGCUCAUCAAAAGCUUUGACAGUGCCUCACAGGGUCCUGGAGCUAAUGCUACUGCAGCUGCUGCUGCUGCCGCUGCUGCUGCCGCUGCAAGCACAACCACAAGCGCCCCCUUACCUCGCACACCUCUCAGUCCCAGCCCCAUGAAGACCCCGCCUGCUGCUGCUGUCUCACCCAUACAGAGACACUCCAUCACUGGCUCUAUGGCCGCUGCGAAGCCCCUCUCCUCCCUUACAGACAAAAGACCCAGUUACACGGACAUCAGCAUGCCAGCUGAGCAUCUACUAAGAGCAGCCAACGGCAGUCGUCCCGCUUCAGCUCUUCAGAGAGUCUCAAGCAUGGACACAUCAAAGACCAUCACAGUGUCUCGAAGAAGCAGCGAAGAGGCGAAGAGGGAUAUCAGUGCUCCUGAUGGAGGCCCAGCUUCCUCUCUGAUAGCCAUGGGCUCUGCUGCACCUUCUCUCUCCCUGUCCUCUUCCUCUUCCCCCACAGCCUCUGUCAACCCCACAGCGCGCAGCCGCAUUCGAGAGGAGCGAAAAGACCCGCUGUCAGCUUUGGCUCGUGAAUAUGGUGGUUCUAAAAGAAAUGCACUGCUGAGGUGGUGUCAGAAGAAAACCGAGGGUUAUCAGAAUAUCGACAUUACCAACUUUAGUAGCAGCUGGAAUGAUGGUCUGGCCUUCUGCGCUGUCCUUCACACAUAUCUGCCUGCUCAUAUUCCCUAUCAAGAACUCAACAGUCAGGACAAGAGACGAAAUUUCACCCUGGCCUUCCAAGCAGCGGAAAGUGUGGGAAUCAAGUCCACUCUGGCAUGUUCAGGAGCUCCGGUUUGCACUGGAGCAAUGUGCACAAAGACCUAAUGGAGAUCCGAGGCACUCUAUUAAUCUUCAAGUUGGAAUAUUUCUGUCAUCCACUCCCAUCCUGUAAGCUGACAGCAGGACAUCAAUGACAUGGUCCAUACAGAAAGACCGGACUGGCAGAGUGUUAUGACUUACGUCACCUCUAUCUACAAGUAUUUUGAGACCUGAGCACAUGUACUUUUAUAGAUUGUCAAACCAAUGCAACAAAUUUCCACCAACUAACCUGAGUGCAACUUCCCACCAUAUCAUCUAAGCCUAAUCCUAGCACAAAGUCAUAUUAAACCCAUCACAAGGACAGUUCACUUAGCAUAUGCUGAUAUGACAUCGAUAUAUCAAAGAAAAUCAUCUACAGUGGAACCGAAUCAGUUUGCCUUGAUAAUGCUUCAACUCACUGUCGCGUGACUCUAACACUACAGACUACAUCUAGUUACUAAUUCUUGGUGUGGAUGAUCUAAAACUGUGGAUUUGAAAUCAGUCUUAAGGAACAGCGUGGACCCGCUUGCGACCCCGUGCCUUUCGCCACCCUGAGUUCUUGCUUCCAGACAGACGUUUGGAGCAAGUUCUUCACCUUAAUACACAGCCGUGGAACUUGUUUUAAAAGAACGAGACGUGCGGAUUGCUCAAAGCAGUGCCUAAUUGAAACACUUCAUUGGAGUAGCACUUCAGUAGAGGAGAAUUGUACACUAAUAGGAGUUAUUCACUAUAGCACACAGUCAGUGGUUAAACUUUUUUACAGGAUUGCCCAUUUUGGGCACAUUGUUACGACUGUGAUGGAUCUUGGCUUGAAAUACUACAUAUUAAAUAGGGAGGUCAGCAAUAAGCUUAUGUAACCCGUUGAGCCAUUUCAUAUGACAUUAGUGCUGCUCACCAUCAGUAUGAUACUGUAGUAAACGCUAUAUUCAGAUUAGCAGCACAUGUGCAUGUACUGUCCAUUGUAUUAGUCUGAAAUAGUAUACCAAAAAUGAAAUCUGUCACGAUAUCUUUUUGUUUGUAAGCUAACUUCCUUAUGUACUAAUCAAAUAGUAUGUUCUUUCUCAGGAUAAGAAAGUCGUAUUGAUAUUUAUCAAGAUGAAUAAUCAUAUGCGAUUCAUAAUAUGUUAUGUGCAGUGCUCACCAAUACCCGCACAUUUUAUUGUUUGCAAAGCACAAAAAUCAUUUUACAUGCACUAAUUCAAAAUGUAAAUGAAGCUACAUUCCAGUGCAUUAAUAUGGAAGAGUUUCUGCCUGAGUGACAAAAAUCACAAUUGUCACACAUAUCCUGUUUUGCAGCUGUGCUGAAUUCAGGCAUCAUUCUCUUUUCAUGAAUUUGAAAGACUUUGACGUUUCCCACCUGUCUGCAAAUAACACUUUAAAGGUAAUUCAAGACAUGAAAAUAAAUAACAGUAAUGAUAAAACAGUCAUUUUUCAUGAGUGUUGAAAAAAUGUGAGGUAUGUCUCUUUCUUUGAUUCUUUUAAUAGGGUAUUUAAUAUUUCCAUUCCUCAGGAAGUAUUUCACAUUGUUUGAAAUAAUUCCUAUUCAAAUUCCUGGGUGUGUAGCUUAGCAGCCGUUUUUAGCUCUCGAACAUCUGAAAGAAAAAUCUGCAGUUUCCCUGGUAAGCGUUUUAAGAAUUAUUCCAAACUGCAUUACUGAGCUACUUUACCUUUGGACCACGAUCGCAUAAUAAUUAAAAGUAAGAGUCAAAUUAAUCUUUAUAUUUGUCCCAAAUAAAUCCUGACCAAAUGUUCUGUUCAUAAGCAGCAUAUCGGCUUAAUUUACUAAACAAGAGACAUGUUGAGUUGGACCUGCAAUUCUGUAUGUCUGUUUAACGUGCUUCAAGCUUUCAUCACAUUAAUAUGAAUGUAAUACAGCUCUGUUGCCUUUUAGAUUGUUAAUUUACACCAGUUUUCUGUUCUUGAAUGCUGCCAUUUUGUUUAGGUUUUUUUUUUUAUUGUUGUGAGAACAUUAUCUUAAUAAAAAGGGUAAAAUGAUUUCCUUUUUAUAAAUAAAUGUGAAGAGCAAUCAAUAUGCUGUUCCUCCGGAAAUGAAUCGAUCACCUGGUGUAUAAACAUUUUUCUUUGCAUUAUCGUAUUUUAAUUCUCGCAUUUUAGUUGUGCAGCAUAGGGAAAUCCCUUUUUGGGUUUCACUUUUUAAAGAUUGAUUAAUUGGUCCAUGAAUCAGUGAAUAACUUGUAUUAUAUAGAAAUAACAAAAAUGAGGUUUUAAUUAAUUCCCAGCCCCUUUCCGGACUGGAAAUUCAAGUAAUGUAAUGCAUCGUGGUUGCCCUCCCAUUUGGCUGGAAGGCUUUUCUAAUCUUUGUCCUAAACACAUUUAACAGGUCAUUUAAAACCGGCAAAAGGUCUGAGGAAAGGAGAUGGUGGGUGUUUGAGUUUAGCUCUUUAUCUUUGUUGUUGUGAAGGUUGGGUGUUUUGCAGCACGAUUAAUACAUUUCUAGGAUUAGAUGUGAAGUCAGUCUUUACAUAGAGUAAAAAAAAAAAAAAUUGCAUUUUGUCCUGAAUUAGA